rnacentral:tRNA from 1 species
GCGGGCGUAGCUCAGUGGUAGAGCGUGUCCUUGCCAAGGACGAGGCCGUGGGUUCGAAUCCCAUCGCCCGCUCCA